GAUGAACGCUAGCUACAGGCUUAACACAUGCAAGUCGAGGGGCAGCAUGAACUUAGCUUGCUAAGUUUGAUGGCGACCGGCGCACGGGUGAGUAACACGUAUCCAACCUGCCGAUGACUCGGGGAUAGCCUUUCGAAAGAAAGAUUAAUACCCGAUGGCAUAGUUCUUCCGCAUGGUAGAACUAUUAAAGAAUUUCGGUCAUCGAUGGGGAUGCGUUCCAUUAGGUUGUUGGCGGGGUAACGGCCCACCAAGCCUUCGAUGGAUAGGGGUUCUGAGAGGAAGGUCCCCCACAUUGGAACUGAGACACGGUCCAAACUCCUACGGGAGGCAGCAGUGAGGAAUAUUGGUCAAUGGACGAGAGUCUGAACCAGCCAAGUAGCGUGAAGGAUGACUGCCCUAUGGGUUGUAAACUUCUUUUAUACGGGAAUAAAGUGAGGCACGUGUGCCUUUUUGUAUGUACCGUAUGAAUA
rnacentral:rRNA from 1 species